rnacentral:rRNA from 1 species
GCAUAUCAAUAAGCGGAGGAAAAGAAACCAACCGGGAUUGCCUCAGUAACGGCGAGUGAAGCGGCAAGAGCUCAAAUUUGAAAUCUGGCCCCUCCGGGGUCCGAGUUGUAAUUUGUAGAGGAUGCUUCGGGUGCGGCCCCUGUCUAAGUGCCCUGGAACGGGCCAUCGGAGAGGGUGAGAAUCCCGUCUGGGAUGGGGUGUCCGUGCCCGUGUGAAGCUCCUUCGACGAGUCGAGUUGUUUGGGAAUGCAGCUCUAAAUGGGUGGUAAAUUUCAUCUAAAGCUAAAUACUGGCCGGAGACCGAUAGCGCACAAGUAGAGUGAUCGAAAGAUGAAAAGCACUUUGAAAAGAGAGUUAAACAGCACGUGAAAUUGUUGAAAGGGAAGCGCUUGCGACCAGACUCGCCCACGGGGUUCAGCCGGCUUUCGGGCCGGUGUACUUCCCCGGGGGCGGGCCAGCGUCGGUUUGGGCGGCCGGUCAAAGGCCCCCGGAAUGUAACGCCCCUCCGGGGGCGUCUUAUAGCCGGGGGUGUCAUGCGGCCAGCCUAGACCGAGGAACGCGCUUCGGCACGGACGCUGGCAUAAUGGUCGCAAACGACCCGUCUUGAAACACGGACCAAGGAGUCUAACAUCUACGCGAGUGUUCGGGUGGCAAACCCGUGCGCGCAGUGAAAGCGAACGGAGGUGGGAGCCCCCUCGAGGGGCGCACCAUCGACCGAUCCUGAUGUCUUCGGAUGGAUUUGAGUAGGAGCGUAGCUGUGGGGACCCGAAAGAUGGUGAACUAUGCCUGAAUAGGGCGAAGCCAGAGGAAACUCUGGUGGAGGCUCGCAGCGGUUCUGACGUGCAAAUCGAUCGUCAAAUUUGGGUAUAGGGGCGAAAGACUAAUCGAACCAUCUGGUAGCUGGUUCCUGCUCGAAGU